rnacentral:lncRNA from 1 species
GAGGAGCUUUGCUCUACUCCCAGGGACAGCACCUCCCUCCUGAGGCCCUGCUCUGCUCUCCAAGAGCAAUAGUGAAUGGAGAUGAUAAAAAAUCUGAAUUUUUCAAUUUUAUGAAUAGAAGAUUAAUUAUAUUGGGAAAAAAGUACAGCUUUCUGUAAUGCAUUCAAGGGAAAAAAAAGGAUUAUUGAAAGUGAAUCAAUGGAAAUCUUUUGGUAUGCUGCAAAUUGCCUGCUCAUCUGUGUCCUUCACUGCUUGGAUUACUUCAUGGUGUUUACAUAGCAAAGCAAACUAUACAACGUCCCAGGGGCCCAAUGCUGCUGCCCUGGAAUACCGG